rnacentral:rRNA from 1 species
CCUACGGGCGGCAGCAGUAGGGAAUCUUCCACAAUGGGCGCAAGCCUGAUGGAGCAACACCGCGUGAGUGAAGAAGGGUUUCGGCUCGUAAAGCUCUGUUGUUGGAGAAGAACGUGCGUGAGAGUAACUGUUCACGCAGUGACGGUAUCCAACCAGAAAGUCACGGCUAACUACGUGCCAGCAGCCGCGGUAAUACGUAGGUGGCAAGCGUUAUCCGGAGUUAUUGGGCGUAAAGCGAGCGCAGGCGGUUGCUUAGGGCUGAUGUGAAAGCCUUCGGCUUAACCGAAGAAGUGCAUCGGAAACCGGGCAACUUGAGUGCAGAAGAGGACAGUGGAACUCCAUGUGUAGCGGUGGAAUGCGUAGAUAUAUGGAAGAACACCAGUGGCGAAGGCGGCUGUCUGGUCUGCAACUGACGCUGAGGCUCGAAAGCAUGGGUAGCGAACAGGAUUAGAUACCCGGUAGUC